rnacentral:rRNA from 1 species
AGUGAACGCUGGCGGUAGGCCUAACACAUGCAAGUCGAACGGCAGCACAGGAGUGCUUGCUCUCUGGGUGGCGAGUGGCGGACGGGUGAGGAAUACAUCGGAAUCUUUCCAGUCGUGGGGGUUAACGUAGGGAAACUUACGCUAAUACCUCAUACUACCUUUGGGAGAAAGAGGGGGAUCGCAAUACCUCUCUCGAUUGUAUUAGCCGAUGUCGGAUUUGCUAGUUUGCGGGGUAUUGGCCCACCAAAGCGACGAUCCGUAGCUGGUCUGAGAGGAUAAUCACCCACCCUGGUACUGAGACACGGUCCACACUCCUACGGGAGGCAGCAGUCGGGAAUAUUGAACGAUGGGCACAAGCCUGAUCCAGCCAUACCGCGUGCGUGAAGAAGACCUUCGGGUUGUAAAGCCCUUUUGUUAGGAAAGAAAACUUUCAAGCUCAUACCCUGGGAGAUUGACGGUACCCAACGAAUAAGCACCGGCUAACUUCGUG